AGAUACAGGCUAGCGGCGGACGGGUGAGUAACACGUGGGUAACCUGCCCAAGAGAUCGGGAUAACACCUGGAAACAGAUGCUAAUACCGGAUAACAACAGAUGAUGCCUAUCAACUGUUUAAAAGAUGGUUCUGCUAUCACUCUUGGAUGGACCUGCGGUGCAUUAGCUAGUUGGUAGGGUAACGGCCUACCAAGGCGAUGAUGCAUAGCCGAGUUGAGAGACUGAUCGGCCACAUUGGGACUGAGACACGGCCCAAACUCCUACGGGAGGCAGCAGUAGGGAAUCUUCCACAAUGGACGCAAGUCUGAUGGAGCAACGCCGCGUGAGUGAAGAAGGGUUUCGGCUCGUAAAGCUCUGUUGUUGGUGAAGAAGGACAGGGGUAGUAACUGACCUUUGUUUGACGGUAAUCAAUUAGAAAGUCACGGCUAACUACGUGCCAGCAGCCGCGGUAAUACGUAGGUGGCAAGCGUUGUCCGGAU
rnacentral:rRNA from 1 species